GGGAGUGCAGCGGCAUUCGCCUUCCCGCCUGCGCUAGUGCGAGGAGCCCGUGGGAGGCUCGUCAGCUCCGUGGCUCCACAGGUAUGGAAAAAAGAACACCUGCAGUAAACAGCUCUUCUUGUAUCGACACGGGAUGAUUCUGUCGGCAGGGAGCACUAUCUUGUGACUGUCCAGCAGAGAGCUGCUCAGGAGUCACAGCUUUUCUCAGGGGUCAGUAUUGCAGCCUGUAGGCAGAACCAGUGUGGUGCUGGGGACCGACCAGACUGCAGCUACAGUAGCUCUUCCUGCAAGAGCUUUGCAGGUUCACAGAGAUCACAGAAGCUAAGCUUGGAUAUGGCACUGGAAAUCAUCUCUUCGUUGCUGUCGCUUGGCUUGUGCGGCGUUUUAGGGUUUA